UCUGCAAAGUAAGAGAGGGCUGGGCAUUAGCAUUACGAACAAAUGCUUAUUGAAUACUUUAUUACAAAGAAGCUCCUGGUGCUGGGAAAUGGGAACAUGUAGAGGAUCCCUGUCCUCCCUGGGCUUGCAGAUGGAACAAGGAUACGUAAAAAGAUAAGUGGCAACACAGGGAGGCACUCACUGGGCCCCAAAGGGCCAAUGCCAAACACAGGUGCAACAGGAUGGCUGGGAGAUAGCUUUUGAGCAGUCGCUAAUGUGCUGGCCUCAGUCCUAUGUGAUUUUAUGCGUUAUCACAUCAAUCCUAAGAGGAAUUCAGUGGUGAGAGUAACUUACCACUGGGGACUGGAAUGACCAGAAAGUUUUUCAGAGAGGAGGUAAGACUUGAGCUGGGUUGAAUUAUAUGGUGAUAUUUCUCAACAGUAAUGAAAGCUGGCUGAGCUGAAACCCAGAGCAUAAUUUCUCACUGGCUGGCUGCUCCAGAUAGUAAUAGCUUCAGUGCCCUUCAGAAUGGAAUUCUUCUGAGCCUGUGAAGAUGUGUGAGGUGUGCUCGGCAGGUGGGAAGAAUGCUGGAGAAAAACGAUGAGAAGAGGGGCUCAGCCAAUCUCAUGCAAUCAUUGUCCCAAAGAGAAGGAAGGCGUAAGAUAAAGAGGAAGCUCAGCUUGCACAUAUUGAAGAAGCAGCAGGAGGAUGUUCUCUACCUAUGGACAGUGAGAAGAUGAU